rnacentral:rRNA from 1 species
GAUGAACGCUAGCGGCAGGCUUAAUACAUGCAAGUCGAGGGGCAGCAUGGGUAGCAAUACCUGAUGGCGACCGGCAAACGGGUGCGGAACACGUACGCAACCUUCCCAAAACUGGUGAAUAGCCCUCCGAAAGGAGGAUUAAUACACCGUAACAUAAUGAAGUGGCAUCACUUUAUUAUUAUAGCUCCGGCGGUUUUGGAUGGGCGUGCGCCUGAUUAGGUAGUUGGCGGGGAACGGGCCCACCAAGCCUGCGAUCAGUAACUGGUGUGAGAGCACGACCAGUCACACGGGCACUGAGACACGGGCCCGACUCCUACGGGAGGCAGCAGUAAAGGAAUAUUGGUCAAUGGACGAAAGUCUGAACCAGCAUGCCGCGUGAAGGAUGAAGGUCCUCUGGA